AAGAUAUUAGAAAAAAUCAUUUCAUAGCUUCGUCAAAGCUAAAU
rnacentral:tRNA from 1 species